GACCUGUUGGUGCAGAUGGCAGCGCACCCACCAUAACCUGAAGGGCUAGGCUCAAAGAAUUAUGUGGGAGGCCCCAGUUCGAUUCUGGGAUGGGUCA